ACAGCGACAACACGGGUGAUUAUACAGCGCAGAUACUUCGACUUGGUGCCACAGAGAAAGAAGCUCGCGAAUCGCCGAAAAGAAUCCCGAUCCCUAAAAUGAUGGUUCAUCAAAACUUGGACGAUGACGAAGCUGUGGCCAAGAAGGCCACUGCAGCAAGAAACAAAAGAACAGCUUUCAACCGGGCUGCAGCAAAGAAAGACCGGUACGAGCAGAGUCUGAAAAAACAGAUGAGCCACGCUCUCUGAAAAAACUCGGAACAAACUGUGAGCAUAUACUA